rnacentral:rRNA from 1 species
UGGUGGGUAGGGGAGCGUCGUGUGUUGGGUGAAGCAGCCGUGGAAACGUGUUGUGGACGGCAUGCGAGUGAGAAUGCAGGCAUGAGUAGCGUUACACACGUGAGAAACGUGUGCGCCGAUUGACUAAGGGUUCCUGGGUCAAGCUGAUCUGCCCAGGGUAAGUCGGGACCUAAGGCGAGGCCGACAGGCGUAGUCGAUGGACAACCGGUUGAUAUUCCGGUACCCGCCGUGAAGCGCCAACGCUGAAUCUUCUGAUGCUAAGCCCGUGAAGCCGCCUGCUGAGUCUUCGGACGAGGUGGGAGUGGUGGAGCCGGUGACCCGAGGGGGUAGUAGGUGAGUGAUGGGGUGACGCAGGAAGGUAGUCCAGCCCGGGUGGUGGUUAUCCCGGGGUAAGGGUGUGGCCCGAAGGGUAGGUAAAUCCGUCCUUCAUUGUGGGUGAGACCUGAUGCCGAGCCGAUUGUGGUGAAGUGGAUGAUCCUAUGCUGUCGAGAAAAGCCUCUAGCGAUGUUUCAUGGUGGCCCGUACCCUAAACCGACUCUGGUGGUCAGGUAGAGUAUACCGAGGCGUUCGGGUGAACUAUGGUUAAGGAACUCGGCAAAUUGCCCCCGUAACUUCGGGAGAAGGGGGGCCGCUUCUGGUGAUGGCAUUUACUGUCGGAGCUGGGGGUGGCCGCAGAGACCAGCGAGAAGCGACUGUUUACUAAAAACACAGGUCCGUGCGAAGCUGUAAGGCGAUGUAUACGGACUGACGCCUGCCCGGUGCUGGAACGUUAAGGGGACCGGUUAGCUCUUUUGGGGGCGAAGCUGGGAACUUAAGCGCCAGUAAACGGCGGUGGUAACUAUAACCAUCCUAAGGUAGCGAAAUUCCUUGUCGGGUAAGUUCCGACCUGCACGAAUGGCGUAACGACUUCUCGGCUGUCUCAACCAUAGGCCCGGUGAAAUUGCAUUACGAGUAAAGAUGCUCGUUUCGCGCAGCAGGACGGAAAGACCCCGGGACCUUUACUAUAGCUUGAUAUUGGUGUUCGGUUCGGUUUGUGUAGGAUAGGUGGGAGACUGUGAAGCCCUCACGCCAGUGUGGGUGGAGUCGUUGUUGAAAUACCACUCUGAUCGUGCUGGAUGUCUAACCUGGGUCCGUGAUCCGGAUCGGGGACAGUGUCUGGUGGGUAGUUUAACUGGGGCGGUUGCCUCCUAAAGGGUAACGGAGGCGCCCAAAGGUUCCCUCAGCCUGGUUGGUUAUCAGGUGGUGAGUGUAAGUGCACAAGGGAGCUUGACUGUGAGACUGGCGGGUCGAGCAGGUGCGAAAGCAGGGACUAGUGAUCCGGCGGUGGCUUGUGGGAGCGCCGUCGCUCAUCGGAUAAAAGGUACCCCGGGGAUAACAGGCUGAUCUUCCCCAAGAGUCCGUAUCGACGGGAUGGUUUGGCACCUCGAUGUCGGCUCGUCGCAUCCUGGGGCUGGAGUUGGUCCCAAGGGUUGGGCUGUUCGCCCAUUAAAGCGGUACGCGAGCUGGGUUUAGAACGUCGUGAGACAGUUCGGUCCCUAUCCGCUGUGCGCGUUGGAGUCUUGAGAAGGGCUGUCCCUAGUACGAGAGGACCGGGACGGACGAACCUCUGGUGUGCCAGUUGUUCUGCCAAGGGCAUGGCUGGUUGGCUACGUUCGGGAGGGAUAACCGCUGAAAGCAUCUAAGCGGGAAGCUUGCUUCGAGAUGAGGACUCCCACCCACUUGAUGGGGUAAGGCUCCCUGUAGACGACGGGGUUGAUAGGCCGGAGAUGGAAGCCUUGUGAGAGGUGGAGUUGACCGGUACUAAUAGGCCGAGGGCUUGUCCAU